rnacentral:rRNA from 1 species
CCUACGGGUGGCAGCAGUGAGGAAUAUUGGUCAAUGGACGAGAGUCUGAACCAGCCAAGCCGCGUGAAGGAUGACUGCUCUAUGGGUUGUAAACUUCUUUUUUAUGGGAAUAAAAUGUUCCACGUGUGGGAUUUUGUAUGUACCAUAUGAAUAAGGAUCGGAUAACUCCGUGCCAGCAGCCGCGGUAAUACGGAGGGUCCGAGCGUUAUCCGGAUUUAUUGGGUUUAAAGGGAGCGUAGGUGGAUUAUUAAGUCAGUUGUGAAAGUGUGCGGCUCAACCGUAGAAUUGCAGUUGAAACUGGCAGUCUUGAGUACGGUAGAGGUAGGCGGAAUUCGUGGUGUAGCGGUGAAAUGCUUAGAUAUCACGAAGAACUCCGAUUGCGAAGGCAGCUCGCUGGACUGCAACUGACGCUGAGGCUCGAAAGUGUGGGUAUCAAACAGGAUUAGAUACCCGAGUAGUC